GCGCAAGCUGUGACUCAGACCAUCUACUAGUGCAGACACGGUUUAGAUGCAAAAUCAGUCGAAAGGUAAAAGAAAAAUAUCCAAAACAAGAAAAACUAACCUUAGAUAACCUAAAAGUCCCUGAGGUAUAAGAAAGAUUUGAGAGAACAGUGGAUGAAAAAUUACUAGAAGAAAACAGAGCAGACUCCACAAUAGAAAAUCAAUGGAACACCAUAAGCAGUAUCAUACUAAACACAGCGAAAGAAAUCCUAGGAACAAAGACACAACGGAGAGAAGAAACAUGGUUCGAUGAAGAAUGCAAACAAGCUAUACAGGAAAGAAAUAAAGCACAUAAGAAUUACAUACUCAGACGUACUAGAGAGAGAAAAACAGAAUUUGAGAACAAAAGACGAAGAGCAGAUAAACUGUGCAGGCAGAAAAA
rnacentral:lncRNA from 1 species